rnacentral:lncRNA from 1 species
AAAUGGUCUCCACCAGAAAUCCAAGAAUGUGAUCUAUGGCAAGGAAACAUAUGUGGGGUGAGGUGUAUGAGCCUCUGGUCGAUGAUCAAUGGCCACACAACCCCCAUUUUGCCGAAAAUAGCCAUGAACGACCAUUUUCAAUAAUACCGAAGGCUAACACCUACGGAUUUUUGACCAAGAAAUGGUCUCCACCAGAAAUCCAAGAAUGUGAUCUAUGGCAAGGAAACAUAUGUGGGGUGAGGUGUAUGAGCCUCUGGUCGAUGAUCAAUGGCCACACAACCCCCAUUUUUGUCGAAAAUAGCCAUGAACGACCAUUUUCAAUAAUACGAAGGCUAACACCUACGGAUUUUUGACCAAGAAAUGGUCUCCACCAGAAAUCCAAGAAUGUGAUCUAUGGCAAGGAAACAUAUGUGGGGUGAGGUGUAUGAGCCUCUGGUCGAUGAUCAAUGGCCACACAACCCCCAUUUUUGUCGAAAAUAGCCAUGAACGACCAUUUUCAAUAAUACCGAAGGCUAACACCUACGGAUUUUUGACCAAGAAAUGGUCUCCACCAGAAAUCCAAGAAUGUGAUCUAUGGCAAGGAAACAUAUGUGGGGUGAGGUGUAUGAGCCUCUGGUCGAUGAUCAAUGGCCACACAACCCCCAUUUUUGUCGAAAAUAGCCAUGAACGACCAUUUUCAAUAAUACGAAGGCUAACACCUACGGAUUUUUGACCAAGAAAUGGUCUCCACCAGAAAUCCAAGAAUGUGAUCUAUGGCAAGGAAACAUAUGUGGGGUGAGGUGUAUGAGCCUCUGGUCGAUGAUCAAUGGCCACACAACCCCCAUUUUGUCGAAAAUAGCCAUGAAUGACCAUUUUCAAUAAUACCGAAGGCUAACACCUACGGAUUUUUGACCAAGAAAUGGUCUCCACCAGAAAUCCAAGAAUGUGAUCUAUGGCAAGGAAACAUAUGUGGGGUGAGGUGUAUGAGCCUCUGGUCGAUGAUCAAUGGCCACACAACCCCCAUUUUUGUCGAAAAUAGCCAUGAACGACCAUUUUCAAUAAUACGAAGGCUAACACUACGGAUUUUUGACCAAGAAAUGGUCUCCACCAGAAAUCCAAGAAUGUGAUCUAUGGCAAGGAAACAUAUGUGGGGUGAGGUGUAUGAGCCUCUGGUCGAUGAUCAAUGGCCACACAACCCCCAUUUUUGUCGAAAAUAGCCAUGAACGACCAUUUUCAAUAAUACCGAAGGCUAACACCUACGGAUUUUUGACCAAGAAAUGGUCUCCACCAGAAAUCCAAGAAUGUGAUCUAUGGCAAGGAAACAUAUGUGGGGUGAGGUGUAUGAGCCUCUGGUCGAUGAUCAAUGGCCACACAACCCCAUUUUUGUCGAAAAUAGCCAUGAACGACCAUUUUCAAUAAUACGAAGGCUAACACUACGGAUUUUUGACCAAGAAAUGGUCUCCACCAGAAAUCCAAGAAUGUGAUCUAUGGCAAGGAAACAUAUGUGGGGUGAGGUGUAUGAGCCUCUGGUCGAUGAUCAAUGGCCACACAACCCCCAUUUUUGUCGAAAAUAGCCAUGAAUGACCAUUUUCAAUAAUACCGAAGGCUAACACUACGGAUUUUUGACCAAGAAAUGGUCUCCACCAGAAAUCCAAGAAUGUGAUCUAUGGCAAGGAAACAUAUGUGGGGUGAGGUGUAGAGCCUCUGGUCGAUGAUCAAUGGCCACACAACCCCCAUUUUGCCGAAAAUAGCCAUGAAGACCAUUUUCAAUAAUACGAAGGCUAACACUACGAUUUUUACCAAGAAAUGGUCUCCACCAGAAAUCCAAGAAUGUGAUCUAUGGCAAGGAAACAUAUGUGGGGUGAGGUUAUGAGCCUCUGUCGAUGAUAAUGGCCACACAACCCCCAUUUUUGUCGAAAAUAGCCAUGACGACCAUUUUCAAUAAUACGAGGCUAACACCUACGGAUUUUGACCAAGAAAUGGUCUCCACCAGAAAUCCAAGAAUGUGAUCUAUGGCAAGGAAACAUAUGUGGGGUGAGGUGUAUGAGCCUCUGGUCGAUGAUCAAUGGCCACACAACCCCCAUUUUUGUCGAAAAUAGCCAUGAACGACCAUUUUCAAUAAUACCGAAGGCUAACACCUACGGAUUUUUGACCAAGAAAUGGUCUCCACCAGAAAUCCAAGAAUGUGAUCUAUGGCAAGGAAACAUAUGUGGGGUGAGGUGUAUGAGCCUCUGGUCGACGAUCAAUGGCCACACAACCCCAAUUUUUGUCGAAAAUAGCCAUGAACGACCAUUUUCAAUGACACUGAAGGCUAACACCUACGGAUUUUUGACCAAGAAAUGGUCUCCACCAUAAAUCCAAGAAUGUGAUCUAUGGCAAGGAAACAUAUGUGUAGUGAGGUGUAUGAGCCUCUGGUCGAAGAUCAAUGGCCACACAACCCCCAAUUUUGUCGAAAAUAGCCAUGAAUGAACAUUUUCAAAAAUACCAAAGGCUAACACAUUCGG